rnacentral:lncRNA from 1 species
CCUAGUAGACUGCUCAUUUUUAUAUUUGAAGCUUAAUUUCAAUUUAGAAAUUGUAGGUUUUAGUUCUCCCUAGAUUCAAAACCCAAAAACAAAAAGAAAAACUCUAAGAAACCAAAAAAAAGGGUCUCUCUUUUCAGCCCUGAAAAAUAUUCAUAUUCAGCUAUUUCCUUCCAUUUUCUCAUGCAUCAGUAGUUAGUUUUUGUUUAAAUUCAGAAAAAACCAAAUAAAAUAGAAAAAUCUAAUAGAAAACUUAAAAGUAUUACUGUUCCAUUAGAUGAUUUAAGCUGGUUUCCACAUCAGUUGCUGAUUUUUCCAGUUUUAGUUCAACAAUCGGG